rnacentral:rRNA from 1 species
CCUACGGGAGGCAGCAGUGGGGGAUAUUGGACAAUGGGGGGAACCCUGAUCCAGCGACGCCGCGUGAGUGAAGAAGUAUUUCGGUAUGUAAAGCUCUGUCAGCAGGGAAGAAAGCAAUGACGGUACCUGACUAAGAAGCCCCGGCUAACUACGUGCCAGCAGCCGCGGUAAUACGUAGGGGGCAAGCGUUAUCCGGAUUUACUGGGUGUAAGGGGAGCGUAGACGGCGGUGCAAGUCUGGAGUGAAAGGCGGGGGCUCAACCCCCGGACUGCUCUGGAAACUGUAUGGCUGGAGUGCAGGAGAGGUAAGCGGAAUUCCUAGUGUAGCGGUGAAAUGCGUAGAUAUUAGGAGGAACACCAGUGGCGAAGGCGGCUUACUGGACUGUAACUGACGUUGAGGCUCGAAAGCGUGGGGAGCAAACAGGAUUAGAUACCCCUGUAGUC